rnacentral:rRNA from 1 species
CUGGUGUAGUGGUGAAAUACGUAGAUAUCAGGAAGAACACCAGUGGCGAAGGCGGUCUUCUGGGCUGCAUCUGACGCUCAUGUACGAAAGCUGGGGUAGCGAACGGGAUUAGAUACCCCGGUAGUCCCAGCUGUAAACGAUGGUCACUAGGUGUUGGCGGUUCGAAUCCGUCAGUGCCGGAGUUAACGCAUUAAGUGACCCGCCUGGGGAAUACGGUCGCAAGACUGAAACUCAAAGGAAUUGACGGGGGCCCGCACAAGCGGUGGAGCAUGUGGUUUAAUUCGAUGCAACGCGAAGAACCUUACCGAGAAUUGACAUCCCGUGACUACCUGUGAGAGCAGGGUUUGGUACUUUGUAUCACACGGAGACAGGUGGUGCAUGGCUGUCGUCAGCUCGUGUCGUGAGAUGUUGGGUUAAGUCCCGCAACGAGCGCAACCCUUGUCCUUAGUUGCCAGCAAGUGAUGUUGGGGACUCUAAGGAGACUGCCGGUGAAAGUCGGAGGAAGGUGGGGAUGACGUCAAGUCCUCAUGCCCUUUAUAUCUCGGGCUACACACGUGCUACAAUGGUCGGAACA